rnacentral:tRNA from 1 species
CAAAACGUAGCUUAACUAAAGCAUCCCGCUUACACCGGGAACACAUCUGUUAGACCCAGAUCGUUCUGA